GCCAAUAUUAGGGUUAAUCCAAAGGAUCCCAAUGAUGUCACUCAUUCUUGUGCACAGAGUUUUGAUAACUUUGUCCAGAUAACUGGUGAUGCUGAAGAGGUUGAGAGAGCACUUUAUGUUGUUUCGGCUAUUAUGUACAAGUUUUCUCCAAGAGAGGACAUUUCUCUCGAAACUUCAGUCCAAGAACAGAUGCCACCAACCAUUAUUAUUCCGUCAGAUCUACCAUUUUAUCCUGCUGGUGGCUUUUAUCCCAACCCAGAUUCUAUUGUUACCCCUUCUGGAUCAGUGCCUCCAGUCAUAGGUGCAACUGGACAUGAGAUUCA
rnacentral:misc_RNA from 1 species